rnacentral:misc_RNA from 2 species
AUUGGGCGUUCCGUGAUCCCUCCCUUACCUAAGAUACGCAUUAGUGCAGUGUCCACACAGAUUGUCUGAUGAAAUUAAUGAGCAAGAGCACCUGUUGAUGCGGUAAGGGUAACCUUACGCUGAUGCGAAAAGUGCCAGGGCACGAAAGUGGACUGGUACGGAAUUCUCUUGUCACCCCUAUUAUUGUUCUCGUUUACCCCCCCUCUA